GAAGGGCAUUCUUGUCAUUUUGUUUGUAUAAUAACAUUGUGGUCAUUUAUUUGAAGAGGUGAGGAUAGAAUGGUCAUUUUGUCUCAAAGCUUAUCUUUUAUAACUUCAUCUUCUCCAAAGGUCUAGAACUUAAGAGAAAUUUCACUCUCUUUGGGCCGUUUAUCUCUUCACUAGGGUUUCAAAAAUUUUCAAGCUUAUUUGGAGUUAAAAGCAAACCUUCCUUCAUUGAAGUUGAUUAGAGCGGAGAGCCCUCGAGUAAAGACAAGGCCUUGGAAGGAGCUUAACCAUCUCUUGGCCUUCAUUUAUGAGUGAAUUUGUGUUGUCAAAACACAUAAUCGAGUAGGAUUUGAAUGAUAACUAAUAGGAGUAUUUACACUUGUGCAUGGCUUUGGAAUAUGAUUCUAAUGUUGAGGUUAAAUAACUCAUGUUUGUUUGAUGUAUUUUGAUCCUUAUUCUUCUUUGUGAAAGGAAAUGGUAUAUUAUUGAAAAUGUGGUACUUCUUGUGAA